UGGGGAAUAUUGCACAAUGGGCGCAAGCCUGAUGCAGCCAUGCCGCGUGUGUGAAGAAGGCCUCGGGUUGUAAAGCACUUUCAGCGAGGAGGAAGGUGGUGAACUUAAUACGUUCAUCAAUUGACGUUACUCGCAGAAGAAGCACCGGCUAACUCCGUGCCAGCAGCCGCGGUAAUACGGAGGGUGCAAGCGUUAAUCGGAAUUACUGGGCGUAAAAGCGCACGCAGGCGGUUUGUUAAGUCAGAUGUGAAAAUCCCCCGGGCUCAACCUGGGAACUGCAUUUGAAAACUGGCAAGCUAGAGUCUCGUAGAGGGGGGUAGAAAUUCCAGGUGUAGCGGUGAAAAUGCGUAGAGAUCUGGAGGAAUACCGGUGGCGAAAGGCGGCCCCCUGGANGAAAGACUGACGCUCAGGUGCGAAAAGCGUGGGGAGCAAAACAGAUUAGAUACCCUGGUAGUCCACGCUGUAAAACGAUGUCGAUUUUGGAGGUUGUGCCCUUGAGGCGUGGCUUCCGGAGC
rnacentral:rRNA from 1 species